rnacentral:rRNA from 1 species
UGGGGAAUUUUGGACAAUGGGGGAAACCCUGAUCCAGCCAUCCCGUGUGUGCGAAGGCCUUCGGGUUGUAAAGCACUUUUGGUAGGAAAGAAACGUCAUGGGUUAAUACCCCGUGAAACUGACGGUACCUGCAGAAUAAGCACCGGCUAACUACGUGCCAGCAGCCGCGGUAAUACGUAGGGUGCAAGCGUUAAUCGGAAUUACUGGGCGUAAAGCGUGCGCAGGCGGUUCGGAAAGAAAGAUGUGAAAUCCCAGAGCUCAACUUUGGAACUGCAUUUUUAACUACCGGGCUAGAGUGUGUCAGAGGGAGGUGGAAUUCCGCGUGUAGCAGUGAAAUGCGUAGAUAUGCGGAGGAACACCGAUGGCGAAGGCAGCCUCCUGGGAUAACACUGACGCUCAUGCACGAAAGCGUGGGGAGCAAACAGG